UAUGGGAAUAGCCAACCAACUCCGUAUGCCGAACUGAAAAAACUCUACAAGCAAAGUUUCGUAACUAUGCAAAUUGUGCCAGUAAUCGUUUCUCUACAUCUACUAAAAGAGAUUCAUUCUUAAGAAUCUGUACAUUCUCAGCUUCUGAAAGCAUCAUCUUCGAAAUAUCCUGCCCAGGUUGGAUUAACUGAGCUGUAGCAGCGGCGGAUGAAAAACCAGCCAUCCCCAUUUCAUUAGUAGCAUUACUGGCAGCUAAAAAAUGUUAAAAAAACCAUCAUCCUAUUAAUAAGUUCAUACCAUUAUUUUCUCCCAAAAGAAGGGCAUAAACCGAUUUGAGACCAAAUAAGUUUAGAAAAUACCAAGAAAUCGAUGAAACCCAUUGAACGUCUAAGUCUUGUGUCGCAACACCUGAUUGGAAAAUUGACUUGAAUCGUAAGGUAAGAGGAAAUGGUAAUUUCACUUUGAUAGUUAGUAAUAUUACCAAAAAAAUAAUAAAAGUUGGCACGAUUUAAUACGAGUACUAUCUAGUUGAGAUAAACAAAAGCUGAAUCUUCAUCCUACACAAACACCUUGUUUGAAAGCAUCAUGCUCAAUUUCAAUUCCAUUAUCAAAAUUGGUUAAAACACUAUGGUUUUGCAGAAAUUUGCAUCUGACUCGUACUUACAUAGAAUGAAGCCUGAAAAAAAUUCAUUAAUCCAAGUCAUUAUAAUAGUUUGAGGAACAACCAUUAACAUAUUUCCUUUCAUAGACUCCAUCAAACCCUCAAGAGUUUUAUCAUCCAUUAAUGGAUUUGCAGCUUUUGGAGCGUUGGGAUCAACAGGUUUUAAAUAUUUCCCUGAUUUCAAUGAUUCUAUUAAGAAACAUUUUCUAGCUUCUAUUGAUUCAGGCAGCAAGCUAUUCGAACAGGCGCGGAGGGCAUAAGCGCGCUGUAGUAGUCGUCUGAAGAUUGCUGUUAGUAACUCAAUUUUGUUAACGCUUUAUUCUUACUGUUCUCUAAUUUCCUCUUUAGAAAGCUUUUUUGGAGAAGACUGGAGUAAAAUUGUUGCAUUAUGUCUUAAAAUUCCGAUCAAAAUCAUGACAAACAUAAUGGGUAAAAGUACCCAGUUCCUCAAAGCUAGAUACGUUAAACAAUUUAAAAUCUUUGUUUUCUUACCUGGAUCCAGCAGAAGCUUUUGCAUUUUGAAUAAAUACUCACCGUUUCAGGUUCGGAGAUAGCAGAGGUACAGCAGAUUUGCGUGUCGUUGGUAGUCUUAGCAUUUUGUUACGACAGUGCGUAUAUAGCAAAAACACCUAACACACAUUCAAGUCGACAAUAACCCGUAUCAAAUUAUUAAUUUAAUAUGACUAACGCAAUUUCAGCAGCAAUUGGGAAAUUAAGUAACUCGAGUGCCCAAAAAUGAAUAGAACGUCUGUUUAAUUAUUCCCAAUUAACAUUAUCAACCGAUCUCACUUUUUGUUGUGAAAUUUAAAUAUUUUUACGACGAAUAUGGAAUAGAAUUACGAAUUGUUAAUAAAUCAGGACUUCUCGUCUUCUUUUCUUAAUGAUAGCUAAGCACUAACUUGAAGUUUUUACAGAACACUAAACAAAUACGCGAUUGUUAAAAAAGGCAGUUAAUCCCUUUAAGUAAACAACUUGUUUUUUAUGAUGGUAUAUAAGCUAUAUCUAUUUUCAUUAGGUACAGCAUAAACUUCAUAAAGCUUCUAUUACAACGUAAGAAUUUUAAAUGUGCUGAGGAUUAGGACAAACAGUUUGGACUUUAAUGCCUUAUGGAAGAUACUUAUUACCGUAAUAAUUUCGCAAUUGAGAUUUAACAUGUCUCACGUUGUUGAAUUUUUCUCAAUUUACAGUUGUUUGAUUUGAGAGUAGAUUGGGAUGAAAUCCUAAUGUAUUGAUUACUGCUUUUACAAAUCUUUUUUUUUUCUAUGUGUAUAAAACUGAUCAUAGAAAAAGACCUUGUAAGCCAAACAUAUUAGCUACCUAUCCAAUAGACUAGUAAAUUUAGUAAUUUAUU